rnacentral:rRNA from 1 species
UAGGGAAUCUUCGGCAAUGGGGGCAACCCUGACCGAGCAACGCCGCGUGAGUGAAGAAGGUUUUCGGAUCGUAAAGCUCUGUUGUAAGUCAAGAACGGGUGUGAGAGUGGAAAGUUCACACUGUGACGGUAGCUUACCAGAAAGGGACGGCUAACUACGUGCCAGCAGCCGCGGUAAUACGUAGGUCCCGAGCGUUGUCCGGAUUUAUUGGGCGUAAAGCGAGCGCAGGCGGUUUGAUAAGUCUGAAGUUAAAGGCUGUGGCUCAACCAUAGUUCGCUUUGGAAACUGUCAAACUUGAGUGCAGAAGGGGAGAGUGGAAUUCCAUGUGUAGCGGUGAAAUGCGUAGAUAUAUGGAGGAACACCGGUGGCGAAAGCGGCUCUCUGGUCUGUAACUGACGCUGAGGCUCGAAAGCGUGGGAGGCGAACAGGAUUAGAUACCCUGGUAGUCCACGCCGUAAACGAUGAGUGCUAGGUGUUGGAUCCUUUCCGGGAUUCAGUGCCGCAGCUAACGCAUUAAGCACUCCGCCUGGGGGAGUACGACCGCAAGGUUGAA